rnacentral:rRNA from 1 species
CCUACGGGAGGCAGCAGUGAUGAAUCUUGGUCAAUGGCCGCGAGUCUGAACCAGCCAAGUCGCGUGAAGGAUGACUGCCCUAUGGGUUGUACACUUCUUUUAUAUGGGAAUAAAAUGUUCCACGUGUGGGAUUUUGUAUGUACCCUAUGAAUAAGGAUCGGCUAACUCCGUGCCAGCAGCCGCGGUAAUACGGAGGAUACGAGCGUUAUCCGGAUUUAUUGGGUUUACAGGGAGCGUAGGUGGAUUGUUAAGUCAGUUGUGAAAGUUUGCGGCUCAACCGUAAAAUGGCAGUUGAAACUGGCAGUCUUGAGUACAGUAGAGGUGGGCGGAAGUCGGGGUGUAGCGGUGAAAUGCUUAGAUAGCACGAAGAA